AUUGAACGCUGGCGGCGUGCCUAACACAUGCAAGUCGAGCGGUAACAGGUGUAGCAAUACAUGCUGACGAGCGGCGGACGGGUGAGUAACGCUUGGGAAUCUGCCUGUUAGUGGGGGACAACCCGGGGAAACUCGGGCUAAUACCGCAUACGCACUACGGUGGAAAGCCGGGGACCGCAAGGCCUGGCGCUAACAGAUGAGCCCAAGUCGGAUUAGCUAGUUGGUAGGGAACGGCCUACCAAGGCGACGAUCCGUAACUGGUCUGAGAGGACGACCAGUCACACCGGAACUGAGACACGGUCCGGACUCCUACGGGAGGCAGCAGUGGGGAAUAUUGGACAAUGGGCGAAAGCCUGAUCCAGCGACGCCGCGUGAAGGAUGAAAUCCC
rnacentral:rRNA from 1 species